rnacentral:tRNA from 1 species
GACCCCGUAGCUCAGUCGGAUAGAGCAUCAGAUUCCUAAUCUGAGGGUCGCGCGUUCGAAUCGCGCCGGGGUCACCA